AUUGAACGCUGGCGGAAUGCUUUACACAUGCAAGUCGAACGGCAGCACGGGGGCAACCCUGGUGGCGAGUGGCGAACGGGUGAGUAAUACAUCGGAACGUGCCCGGUCGUGGGGGAUAACGUAGCGAAAGUUACGCUAAUACCGCAUACGAUCUGAGGAUGAAGGCGGGGGACCUUCGGGCCUCGCGCGAUCGGAGCGGCCGAUGUCAGAUUAGGUAGUUGGUGGGGUAAAGGCCUACCAAGCCGACGAUCUGUAGCUGGUCUGAGAGGACGACCAGCCACACUGGGACGGAGACACGGCCCAGACUCCUACGGGAGGCAGCAGUGGGGAAUUUUGGACAAUGGGCGCAAGCCUGAUCCAGCCAUUCCGCGUGCAGGACGAAGGCCUUCGGGUUGUAAACUGCUUUUGUAUGGAACGAAAAGGCUCUGGCUAAUACCUGGGGCUCAUGACGGUACCGUAAGAAUAAGCACCGGCUAACUACGUG
rnacentral:rRNA from 1 species